ensembl:snRNA U6 U6 spliceosomal RNA
GUGCUUGCUUCUGCAGCACACACAUUAAAAUUGCAGUGAUACAGAUAAAAUUAGCAUGGCCCCUGACCAAGGAUGACAAAUUUGUGAAACAUUCUACUUUAAA